CUGUUUAUUACAAAAACAAUGCCAAACGUUUUAAGGUGAAACAGAGGUUGAUGCUAAAAUCUGUUGAUGAUAUUUCAACACAGAAAUGAGAAAUUGUAAGUCUCUAUACUGUCGGCUGCUAUACUAGCUUGUGCUUUGCUAGCAGUAAAUGUAAAUUAUCUCUUUCAAACUCUCCCGACUCCACUAGGGAGAAGGGUGUUAUGUAUGGAUGGAUGGACGGACGGAUGGAUGGAUUGAACUCUCCCAUGCUUGUGUUUAAACUUGUGUAAAACAUAACUUGGUAGUGAAACGGCGCCAUCUGCUGUCGCUAGUAGCUACUGUAGCUGUGGGUCUGCGCCGUUGCACAGGACUGCUGCAAAAGAGAACUACCAGCAGAACAUCCUACCCACCAGGUUGGGAGUCCUCAUGGAGAACGCAGAGUGUGGUGACCUGGGUAGCAAUGCUGCAAAAAAAAACCCCCGAAGACAGCAACAUUAAAGGCACAAGUGGACAUUGCAGUGCAAGAAAAUCUGUGUGUGGUUGGUGAAGGUGAACAUCCUGAAGGAGAAACGAGACACAGUGGAGACACC